rnacentral:rRNA from 1 species
UACGUAGGGUGCAAGCGUUAAUCGGAAUUACUGGGCGUAAAGCGUGCGCAGGCGGUUUUGUAAGUUUGUCGUGAAAGCCCCGGGCUCAACCUGGGAAUUGCGAUGAAGACUGCAAGGCUUGAAUCUGGCAGAGGGGGGUAGAAUUCCACGUGUAGCAGUGAAAUGACGUAGAGAUGUGGAGGAACACCGAUGGCGAAGGCAGCCCCCUGGGUCAAGAUUGACGCUCAUGCACGAAAGCGUGGGGAGCAAACAGG